GAUCUGCCUGCCAUGGCGAUGGCGAUGGCAAUGGGGAUUGCUACCCCAAUCAAGUGCAAGGUCACACCUAUAAUCAAUAACAACUACAACUACAACAAUCACCACCAUGUGCUUGAUGCGUUAUAUGUGAAACGCGCCGCCGAGCUGUCUGAUAAGUCUGCCGGCUUCACAUCGCCGCAUCCUAACUUCGGUUGCGUGAUAGCAACAAGUGCAAGUGCCGGGAAAGUGGUCGGAGAAGGUUACCUUUACGGGCAAGGAACGAAGCCCGCUGAGGUUCAGGCGGUGGAGACCGCUGGAGAGUAUUGCAGAGGCGCCACUGCUUAUGUCAACAUGGAACCUGGAGACUGCGAUGGGGACCUCACCGCUUUAUCUGCUUUUAUCAAGGCAGGAAUUGCUAGAGUUGUUAUUGGCAUCAGGCAUCCAUUGCAACAUCUCCGGGGAAAAGCUGUUCAGGCAUUGAGAAGUGAAGGACUGCAGGUUGAUGUUCUUGGGGAAGAUAUUCAAAGUGUCUCCAUUGAGGAUGCUCUAAAAUCCUGUCUCCUUGUCAAUGCUCCUUUGCUAUAUAGAUCAGCUUCUCGAGUUCCAUUCUCGGUUCUGAAGUAUGCAAUGACCCUUGACGGAAAAAUAGCUGCGAGUAGUGGACAUGCAUCAUGGAUAAGUAGCAAAAAGUCAAGAUCUCGAGUUUUUGAAUUACGUGGUAGAAGUGAUGCAGUUAUUGUAGGAGGAAAUACUGUACGCAAUGAUAAUCCACGUUUAACUCCAAGACAUGGAGGUGGACAUUUGCCUAUGCGAAUUGUUAUGUCGCAAACACUUGAUCUUCCGGAGGUUGCAAAUCUUUGGGAUGUCAGAGAUGUGGCCACAAUAGUCGUCACUCAGAGAGGUGCAAGAAGGAGUUUCCAAAAAUUUCUUGCAUCUAAAGGUGUUGAAGUAGUGGAGUUUGAUAUCUUGAACCCUAAGGACGUUGUGGACUACCUUUAUGAUCGUGGUUAUCUUUCCCUCUUGUGGGAGUGUGGAGGGACAUUAUCUGCAUCAGCUAUUUCCUCUGGUGUCAUACACAAGGUGCAUGCAUUUGUUGCUCCAAAGAUAAUUGGUGGAAAGAAUGCACCUUCACCGGUUGGGGAACUUGGGAUGGUUGAAAUGACACAGGCUUUGGAAUUAAUUGAUGUUUGUUAUGAGCAGAUAGGACCUGAUGUGCUUAUUAGUGGAUAUCUGCAUCCUAUUCCUGAUUUGGUACCUGUUAUUCCAUCGGUUGACGAAACUUCAGCAAUUGAUCCAUCCUUAUCUCCUUAUGAUUCACCAAUCAUAUUCUUCUAUAAGACAUGGGACCCAUACGGUAGUUUUUCCAAUUUUUCUCCUCAUCCAAUUCGACUGCCUGAUGAAAGGGGUGAUUAUGUCACUUGGCCAAGUGUAGAGCACUAUUAUCAGGCACACAAGUUUGUGGGCUCGAGCAAUCCAAAUGCAAGAAGUUAUGUUGAAGCAAUAUAUUUGGCAAAAAGUCCUGAAGAAGCAGCACGAACAGGAAGGAAAAUACAAAGGGAACACCCAGAUAUGGUUAGGUCCGACUGGGAAAACGUGAAAACGGAGGUGAUGUACAAGGCAUUGAGAUGCAAGUUCUCAAUUUACCCACACUUGACUUCGAUGCUUCUACUGACAGCUGGCUGUGUACUCGUUGAAGCUUCUCCUCACGAUCUCUUCUGGGGUGGAGGCCGAGAUGGCGAAGGCCUCAAUUAUUUAGGACGGCUUCUCAUGAAGUUAAGAUCCGAGUUUCUAGAUGGUGACACAAAUAAGCCCGAAAUCUCUGCUGGUUUCCGUGAAUCCUAAUCAUAUACACAUUGUUGCGUACCACCUGAGGCGGGGGGUUAAUUGAUGCACACAUGUCUACCAUCUUUGUGAGCUACCACCGUAGAAUUUUGCAAUAUUUGGAUACUUGCUGGUUGCAGUUCUUAUACAUGAAAUCUUACAAAUGCAAAGAGAGCUAGGCAUUUCAUGGGUUUUCUGAAGGAAUUGGAUCUAUUUAAAUAGAAUGUUACCUAUCAGAUUUGACCAAGUGUUUGGUUAGUAGGAAAUGAAAUGUAGUCUGUCAAAUGAAUUGGAAUAUGUUUGUUUCGUUUACAAAAUCUAGCUUUAUGAAUUGAAAUGGAAUAAUAAAAAAUGGAAUUUACUGACCAUUUCAAUUCCUUCAUAUUAUGUAGGAGUCAUGUGGAUCAAUAAGCUAGCUUUUGCU